CAGGAGACAAAAAUCACAUACACUGCUACUGCUAAGACAUGCAGGAAACUAUCUUGAGAGACCCACAUCACACUUGGGUGUGCGAUAACCUUUUCCUGCACGCCUAUUAACUCCUGGGCUUAAAUCUGUUUAAAAUCUUAUUCUUCAACCCUGCUCCACUCUACUGUUCCAGAUAUUCUGAUAUUCAGUGAGGCCAGGAACGUUUUUAUAAGAUUCAUUUUAUGUGUAUGGAUGUUUUUGCUGCAUGUGUACCUCGUGUGAGCCUGUUGUCCACAGAUGCGGGAGAUGAUGUUGAAUCCCCUUGGUGGAGCCACGCCCCUCGUCGGGGGGCGGGACAUGCAAAUCAGAUGCGGCCGGCGCGCGCGGGAAUGCCGGGAGCGCGGGGGUCGUGGAGUUCGGGGCUGACGCUGUGGGAGGCUCUUCAUGUUCCCAAACAAGAAUUUCCCUCUCUCCAAUGCAAAGCCCAGAAAGCCUGGAUGUGAUAUACAGCACUGGUUUCUGGUUGAUUCCUAUCAAAAACAAAAACAAACAAACAAACCAACAAAAUAAUGUGAUCGUGCACAUCUGCAAUUCCUCUGCUCUCCUCCAGGGAUGAGUUCAUUGGUGGCACUCUCAUGAGUCUUGUAGCCUGUCCUGCAUGUCUUUUCUGUGAACUCAGAGAACAGCUCCUCCUCCCCAGCAAUCCAACCAAAAGGUCUGGGCCUGACCCUUGUUGGCCAACAACAGACCUGAUGGACUGUGCAGAUGGAAGGAACUAGGCUUCAGAACACAUGCCAGUCUCAUGCACAUCCCCUCAAGUGAAGAGGAACUGGGAGUCAGGAAGAAUGGAGACAUUGAACUAAGAGCAGGAGAGGGAUGGUUUCCUAAGGAAAAUCAGCUAUAAGAACAGAGACAUGGCCCUGGGAAGGCAAAAGGCAGCCCAGAUCUUCUAUGCUCUUUCUCCUGUCACAGGGAAAUGGACUCCCACAGCUCCUUGUGCACUACUAGUGACUGUGCUUGUGUGUGUGUGUGUGUCUGUGUCUGUGUGUGUGUGUGUGUGUGCCCAUGGAGAUGCUACCAUCUGACAGAAAGAUCUAACCCCACAAGGAACUGCCACUCUGUGAUCCUACUGGGCCCUGUAGGAAUUCUACCAGAUAUGCAUUGAACAGUGUUGUUUAAACAAAAAUUAUAGAAAGCCUACAAUCGCAUGGAAACUGAAUAGUGCCCACCUGAAACACCAAUGGGUCAAGGAAAAAAUAAAGAAAGAAAUUAAAGAUUUCCUAGAAUUCAAUGAAAAUGAAAGUACAACAUACCAAAACUUAUGGGACACUGUGAAAAGCAGUGCUGAGAGGAAAAUUCAUAGCUCUAAAUGCACACAUAAAGAAGAUGGAGAAACUCAUACCAAUGACUUAACAGCACACCUGAAAGCUCUAGAAUAAAAGGAAACAAACUCACCCAGGAGAAAUUGAUGCCAGGAAGUAAUCAAAUUGAGAGCUGAAAUCAACGAAAUAGAAUUAACCAAAAGGCCAAGAGAGAGCACCCAAAUUAACAAAAUCAGAAAUGAAAAGGGAGACAUAACAACAGACAAGGAGGAAUUCCAGAGAAUCCUCAGGUCAUACUUCAAAAACCUAUACUCCACAAAAUUGCAAAAUCUGGAAGAAAUGGACAAUUUUCUGGAUAGAUACCACACACCAAAAUUAAACCAAGACCAGAUAAACUAUUUAAAUAGACAUAUAACCCCUAAAGAAAUAGAAACAGUCAUGAAAAGUCUCCCCCCCGCCAAAAAAAAAGCCCAGGAUCGUUGAUUUGGCAAACCGAAUCCAAGAACACAUCAAAAAAAAAAAAAUUAUUCACCAUGACCAAGUAGGUUUCAUCCCAUGGAUGCAAGGAUGGUUCAACUUAUGAAAAUCUGUCAAUGUAAUACACCAUAUAAACAAUCUGAAAGAAAAAAACCACAUGACCAUCUCAUUAGAUGCUGAAAAAAGCCUUUGACAAAAUCCAACACCCCUUCAUGAGAAAGGUCUUAGAGAGAUCAGGAAUACAAGGAACAUUCCUAAACAUAUUAAAGGCAAUUUACAGCAAGCCAACAGCCACCAUGAAAUUAAACGGAGAGAAACUCAGGGCGAUUCCACUAAGAUCAGGAACAACACAAGGCUGUCCACUCUCCCCAUAUUUAUUCAAUACAGUACUUGAAGUUUUAGCUAGAGCAAUAAGACAACAAAAGGAGAUCAAAGGGAUACAAAUCGGAAAGGAAGAAAUCAAACUUUCACUGUUUGCAGAUGAUAUGGUAGUAUACAUAAGUGACCCCAAAAAUUCUACCAGGGAACUCCUACAGCUGAUAAACUCCUUCAGUAAAGUGGCAGGAUACAAGAUCAACUCAAAAAAAUCAGUAGCCCUCCUAUACACAAAUGAUAAAAGGGCUGAGAAAGAAGUCAGAGAAACAUCACCCUUUAUAAUAUCCACAAAUGAUAUAAAAUACCUUGGGGUAACACUAACUAAACAAGUGAAGGACCUUUUUGAUAAGAACUUUAAAUCUCUAAAGAAAGAAAUUGAAGAAGAUAUCAUGGAAGGAUCUCCCAUGCUCAUGAACAGGUAGGAUUAACAUAGUAAAAAUGGCAAUCUUACCAAAAGCAAUCUACAGAGUCAAUGCAAUCCCCAUCAAAAUCCCAACACAAUUCUUCACAGACUUGGAAAGAAAAAUACUCAACUUCAUAUGGAAAAACAAAAGACCCAGGAUAGCUAAAAGAAUCCUGUAUGAUAAAGCAACCUCCGGAAGCAUCACCAUCCCUGACCUCAAGCUCUACUCUAGAACUAUAGUAAUAAAAACAGCUUGGUGCUGGUCUAAAAACCGACAUACGGACCAAUGGAAUCCAACUGAAGACCCUGACAUCAAUCCACACACAUAGGAACAUCUGAUUUUUGACAAAGAAGCCAAAACUAUACAAUGGAAAAAAAGAAAGUAUCUUCAACAAACGGUGCUGGCAUAACUGGAUGUCAAUAUGUAAAAGAUUACAAAUAGAUCCAUAUCUGUCACCAUGCACAAAACUCAAGUCCAAGUGCAUCAAAGACCUCAACAUAAAUCCAGUCACACUGAAUUUCCACAACACUGUGGACACACUUAACAGAAAAUCAAUCGCUGGGACCCCAGCCCCUCUACUCCGCUCACGGGACUCAGAGCCAGCCCCUCAACAGAAGAUCUUGGUCCGUCAGCCGACCGCCAACUAGGAAAAGUAGGUCCGUCCUUCGGCCAGCGUCCUCAGGUGCAUCUUGGAUGCGAGCCGGCCCGUGCAGCACCGGGAGGCUGUGGGGAGGAGGGGCCCCAGGGAGCUCACUUUCAGGUCGCCACGCCCCUCGUCAGGGGGCGGGGCAUGCAAAUCAGACGCGGCCGGCGCGCGCGGGAAUGCCGGGAGCGCGGGGGUCGUGGAGUUUGUGGCUGACGCUGUGGGAGAUCAGCAUGUAGUUCUCAGCCACUCCUCCAGCACCUGCCUGCAUACCACCAUGCUCCGUGUCAUGAUGAUAAUGAACUAAAGCCCUGGAAACGACUGUGAGACAUGUCUGCUCCUGGCUACACCGAUCCACUUCAGAGAAGAUAUGAGCAUUGAGGAACUUCCACAUGGAGUUACUUUCACUGUGGCAAGAGUUAGCCACUGGGCAAGAAAGUGCCCUUGCAUUGACUGAUGACAUUAUGCUGUCCAAAAUGGACAAGCAGGACACAAAACAAAGGAUCAAUCCUUGCCAAGACAAGUGUGGUUAUAGCUUUAGCAACAGGCGUCCUCUGAGGCCAGGACAAUAUGGCACCAUCCCUGAAGUGGCCUUUGCAAUCCGGAAAAGGUACCAUGCCCCUUUCUUCUGAGGCAGCUGAACAGGCAGUGGGCCGAUGGCUUCUGAUGUGCAGUGGAACAGUAGCUGAAACAGUUAUUCUUGAGGAGUAACUAGGCUGACAGGAGUCUAACCUCUCAAUGGUAGACUGGCACUUAAUAAAGGAGAAGAAGCCACCCACAAGCUAAGAAUAAUGGGAUGCUGAGAUGAAGCCACCCACAAGCCGAGAAGAAUGGGAAGCCAAAUUCCAAAAAUACCAGCAGUUUCCAGAAUUUAAAAUCCUGAAUCAUGACAUGACAUACUUGCACUGAAUGUGAGGUUGAGCUGAAGGCCUUGUGUACAUCCUACUUCACAAGUGAGUCUGUCAGAUACGCUAAGCAUGUAGGCCAAAGAUGAUGCCCCAACACUGCGGAGAAACCUCAGGGUGUGUGCACGUAUGUGCUGAUGUCUGCAGAGCCCCGUGAGUUGGAAGUACUGGCGAUUGUGAGCCAUCUGAUGUGGAGUGCUGGGACUCGAACUUGUCCUCUGCAAGAGCAGUUCCAACUCUUAUCCACUGAGCAUCUCUCCAGACGUUCCUUGCAGAUUUCUGUUUGUUUGUAUGUUUGUUCUUCCGAGACAAUGUUUCUCUGUGUAGCUCUGGCUGUUGUGGAACUCGUUUUUGUAGACCAGGCUGGCCUCAAACUCACAGAGAUCCCUCUACCUUUACCUCCUGAGCGCUGAUAUUAAAGGCGGUGUGCCGCCACCACCCUGCUCCUUGCAGAUUUUUUUUUUUUUUUUGAUUCCUCAGCUGAGACAGCGACAAAGAUGGUUUAUUGUACACGAGUUACACCCGGCCACAGUGGGAACAGAACGAGUCCGCAAUGCACGGGUCCGGGGCAGAGGGCGGCGGGGUCUCAGGGGGUCGGGGCGAGCCGCCGGUGGCGAUGUUCCAGGUCUAUCCGACUCCCGCGAGGGUAGCACACAGCCCGGCGACCUGCAACGCCCCGGCCUCCGGCAUGCCUUGCUUCCGGCCCCUCCGUGCACAAGCCCCGUUCACUUGGACCUCUGCCUCAUCUUUCUCCUCUUGCGCUUCAGCCUGCGCAUCCGCUUCUUCCUCCACUUCGCUCUCAUGGCGCAGGGGUCCCCAGGAAGAUGGCGCUAAGGCCGAGAGCCUCCUUGCAGAUUUUUAAGAAAAAUCCCUAGCUAUGUAGACCAUGCUAGCUUUAAUGUCUCCCAAGUGCUGGAAUUACAGGCAGAUGCCAACUGUCUGUUUUCUUUUUUCUAUAUUUUAAAAACGUGUGUGCGUUUGUGUGUGUGUGUGUGUGUGUGUGUGUGUGUGUGUGUAGUGCAUGCCAUAGUGAACAUGUGGAGAUCAAAAGACUAGUGGCAGGAGACCGCUGUCUCCUUCCACCAGGCAGGUAGGUCAGGAAUUUAAGUCACCCUGCUUAGCAGCAAGUACCCUUAUCGCUGCACUCUUACUGUCCCCAUCCCUGCCCUCAAGACAUCUAAAGGGACCAAGCAAUCACUUUACAAAGGGAACCAUGACCUUGCAGAGCCCAGGCUGUUUGUUACCAGCGCUGAUAUUGGGGAGUUGGCUCGGAAUAAACCAUUUGGGCAUCUUGGAAUUGUCUUCCUCCCUCCCACCCCCAACCUUGACACAACUGACUGACAGACUCCAACCUAAAAGUUCUUCAGUGAAAGGAGGGAAAAGGUCAAUGCUGUCUCUGUCACAGAAACGUGUUGCCUGCCACCUUUCAGCCUUGACCUCAAAACAUUUCCCAGAACAUCCCCCCACUAUCUGCUCCUUUUGCAGUCUUUGAGGACGGUGGUAUCAUUGGGAGCUCUGGAUGCCCGCCCUUGUUGAGUGCACAGCAUACAGGAGGAGCUCCGGCAAACCUUUGUGGGGUGCACAACGUUUGUGUUGAUGAGCACAGGCCCAGAGAGUAAGAAGCAUCUGGGAGGGCCUGGACUGAUUCAGGGAGCAAGAAGUAAUCUGUGGCAAGGGUUAACAAAACAGCAAAGAGUGAAAAAUAACUGCCCAAGGACGAUGAACAGCGAAUUAGGGACAAAUGCCCGGAGAUGUCUUUAUUUAACGUGUACAUAGGUGUUUGCUUGUGUGGGUUAAUAUGCCCCACGUGUGCGGAGCUUUAACACGCACGGGGAGGCUACCGAUCGAGCUUGCGGCGGGCGCAGAAGCAGCUUUAGGAAGGCGGGGACAGCCCGCGCCGUUCGGUCCCUAAGUGACCAGGUGAAGGCGGGGGAGUCACGGUGACAGUCACACAGAGCUUCCAGGUUUGGGGAAGCGGCGCGGACUCUCCGCGGCCACCAGUGUCUUUCAUUCCCUCCCAGCGACGCCGCCCGACUCGGAACCAGUCACUCCACCGACCGGCGAAGCUCGUCCUCCGGACAACGCGAACUAGACAAGCAGGUCCGACCUUCGGCCACUGUCCCGACAGCCGGCUCUUCAGGUGCCUCCGGCCGCGGACCCGCCCCUCGAGCUUCCGUUUUGGGUGUGUAACACACCACACCAGGACAGUCUCAGAAGAAGACCAACACCUCUACAAAAAAAUAUAGACACCAGCAGCAGCUUCAGAUCGCUUUGAACCUUUUCUCCUCUUUGUGUCUUGUGAGGUCUGAACCACUAGGAAUAUUCAGUGACCGCACUGUACUGGGGUCAUUUCAAAGGAUUCCCUUCUCUGCCACUAUGCCACCAAGCUAAUGAAGCUUUAUUUAUCAACCAAUCAGAGCAACACAUACUCACAGCGUACAGAAAGACAUCCCACAGCAGAAUCCUCAGGAUGAAUGGAAGGUGAGAUUCUAUCUCCAUGAAUCCUCUGACUGAAAGCCUGAGUCCUCAGCCAAAAGGGUCUAGUUCCUGUCUCCUCAUGCCUUAUAAGCCUUUCUCCACCCACUCAUUUUACUUCCUUCCUAGUGCUGGGAUUAAUGAUGUGUGUGCUUCCCAAAUACUGGUAGCAAAGGCAUGAGAUCUCAAAUGCUGGGAUUAAAGGCGUGUGACUCCCAAGUACUGGGAUUAAAGGUGCGUGCCACCACUGCCUGGCUCUGUUUCUCUCCUAGACUGAAUCAAUCUCAUGUAAUCCAGGGUGGCUUUGAACUCACAGAGAUCCAGACGGAUCUCUGCCUCCUGAGUGCUAGGAUUAAAGGUGUGUGCCACCACUGCCUGGCCUCUAUGUUUAAUCUAAUGGCUGGCUCUGUCCUCAGAUCCUCAGGCAAGCUUUAUUUGAUACAUAAUAUAUCACCACUGUGUGUGUGUGUGUGUGUGUGUGUGUGUGUGUGUGUGUGUGUGUCCACACGCGUGAAUAUACACAGGAAACAAUUGUUUUGAAAUAUUGAUUAUCAAGUGCCAUGGAACUAAAAUGAGCAGCCACCUCUGAGAGAGAGCAAGUGCAAGAGAGACCUAGGAAUACACCACAUUACUGUGACUCGGGGUUAGACAGACUCCCUGGUAGCAGACAGAUAGGGAGGGCCAUGGCUACGCAAUAAAGGUAGUGAACUUUAGCCAGCUUCUUCUUCCUCCUGACUUGAGACAAAAGCCUGGCAGUGUAAACAAAGGCCUUUGGGUCUUGUCUUCUGCCAGCAGGCCCCCACUGCUGGAUUGGCUUAACAGGUUCAAGGCAGGAUCAGGACAUGUUACUCAACAGUUGUGGGCCAAUCAACCAUCCUGUCUUUUUUCAGACUGACCCAACUCUAACUUACAGGAGAAAAACUCUUCAGAGACUUAAGAAAUCCUAGCCCUCAAGAGGAGACUGGAACUUUUGGCUUCCUGAGCUCCGCUCCCCCUCUGCUUAGCAGAAUCACUUUCUCUGUGUUUGCUGCAUGUCUGUGGUGGGUGAGAUUUCUCUGCUGUUACCACUUGAACUCAAGAUUGUUCCUGCCUUUUAAAAUUCUUUAAUUGGCAGAGAGAACUAGACCAAUCAAGACCCCCAGACUGUAUAUAUCAUAUAUCAUUACCACUUGUGGAGAGCUUCCAGACUACAGCCCAGAACAGAUUUAUUCUCGGCUCAGACGUCUCUGGAAGUGGGAGAGGUGAAGUUGGAAUGCCAAGGACGCUAGGCAGCUGGCCACAUGGGUUAUAGGGAGAUGAGAGAUGAAGAGAUUUCUACAGUCCUGGUUGAAUCUCAUCCAGGUAACUGCAGGUCUGCAGACUGGUGCAUGGGAGGGCAGGAACAGGCUGGGGAAAGAACUCUUCAAAAGGAGCCAGCGAAGGAACCCAGGGGAUGUGAGAAGAAAACGGGAUCAGGACGUCUCAACAGGUGGACAACCUUUUGUUAAAUGACGCCUAAUCUAAAAUUAGGAACCAUUUCGAAUGGAUUAACGUUACAAAGACACAAUUAAUUCCAGAGCAUGUGUUUUCACAGGUCUGGUUUCUUCCUACUUCGGGCGCAGUAAUCUUUGGUUCUAAAUCCCUUUACUUCAUACUUCGUGGCUCAUCUACCAACAUGUCUCCGCUAUUGGGAAGAACACCUCUUUUUCGUCGCUGGCACAGCUCUCCCUUGCCCCACCAGCGCCCCCCUCUGUCUCUGGGCCCAAGUUUACCCGAGCUAGACCCCUGCGGAUCCUAGCUCUGUGUGCCAAGCUCCAGAGACCGGCUC